rnacentral:rRNA from 1 species
GAUGAACGCUGGCGGCGUGCCUAAUACAUGCAAGUCGAGCGAACGGACGAGAAGCUUGCUUCUCUGAUGUUAGCGGCGGACGGGUGAGUAACACGUGGAUAACCUACCUAUAAGACUGGGAUAACUUCGGGAAACCGGAGCUAAUACCGGAUAAUAUUUUGAACCGCAUGGUUCAAAAGUGAAAGACGGUCUUGCUGUCACUUAUAGAUGGAUCCGCGCUGCAUUAGCUAGUUGGUAAGGUAACGGCUUACCAAGGCAACGAUGCAUAGCCGACCUGAGAGGGUGAUCGGCCACACUGGAACUGAGACACGGUCCAGACUCCUACGGGAGGCAGCAGUAGGGAAUCUUCCGCAAUGGGCGAAAGCCUGACGGAGCAACGCCGCGUGAGUGAUGAAGGUCUUCGGAUCGUAAAACUCUGUUAUUAGGGAAGAACAUAUGUGUAAGUAACUGUGCACAUCUUGACGGUACCUAAUCAGAGAGCCACGGCUAACUACGUGCCAGCAGCCGCGGUAAUACGUAGGUGGCAAGCGUUAUCCGGAAUUAUUGGGCGUAAAGCGCGCGUAGGCGGUUUUUUAAGUCUGAUGUGAAAGCCCACGGCUCAACCGUGGAGGGUCAUUGGAAACUGGAAAACUUGAGUGCAGAAGAGGAAAGUGGAAUUCCAUGUGUAGCGGUGAAAUGCGCAGAGAUAUGGAGGAACACCAGUGGCGAAGGCGACUUUCUGGUCUGUAACUGACGCUGAUGUGCGAAAGCGUGGGGAUCAAACAGGAUUAGAUACCCUGGUAGUCCACGCCAUAAACGAUGAGUGCUAAGUGUUAGGGGGUUUCCGCCCCUUAGUGCUGCAGCUAACGCAUUAAGCACUCCGCCUGGGGAGUACGACCGCAAGGUUGAAACUCAAAGGAAUUGACGGGGACCCGCACAAGCGGUGGAGCAUGUGGUUUAAUUCGAAGCAACGCGAAGAACCUUACCAAAUCUUGACAUCCUUUGACAACUCUAGAGAUAGAGCCUUCCCCUUCGGGGGACAAAGUGACAGGUGGUGCAUGGUUGUCGUCAGCUCGUGUCGUGAGAUGUUGGGUUAAGUCCCGCAACGAGCGCAACCCUUAAGCUUAGUUGCCAUCAUUAAGUUGGGCACUCUAAGUUGACUGCCGGUGACAAACCGGAGGAAGGUGGGGAUGACGUCAAAUCAUCAUGCCCCUUAUGAUUUGGGCUACACACGUGCUACAAUGGACAAUACAAAGGGCAGCGAAACCGCGAGGUCAAGCAAAUCCCAUAAAGUUGUUCUCAGUUCGGAUUGUAGUCUGCAACUCGACUACAUGAAGCUGGAAUCGCUAGUAAUCGUAGAUCAGCAUGCUACGGUGAAUACGUUCCCGGGUCU